rnacentral:rRNA from 1 species
AUUGAACGCUGGCGGCAGGCUUAACACAUGCAAGUCGAGCGGAGAUGAGGUGCUUGCACCUUAUCUUAGCGGCGGACGGGUGAGUAAUGCUUAGGAAUCUGCCUAUUAGUGGGGGACAACAUUCCGAAAGGAAUGCUAAUACCGCAUACGUCCUACGGGAGAGAGCAGGGGAUCUUCGGACCUUGCGCUAAUAGAUGAGCCUAAGUCGGAUUAGCUAGUUGGUGGGGUAAAGGCCUACCAAGGCGACGAUCUGUAGCGGGUCUGAGAGGAUGAUCCGCCACAGUGGGACUGAGACACGGCCCAGACUCCUACGGGAGGCAGCAGUGGGGAAUAUUGGACAAUGGGGGGAACCCUGAUCCAGCCAUGCCGCGUGUGUGAAGAAGGCCUUAUGGUUGUAAAGCACUUUAAGCGAGGAGGAGGCUACUGAGACUAAUACUCUUGGAUAGUGGACGUUACUCGCAGAAUAAGCACCGGCUAACUCUGUGCCAGCCGCCGCCGUAAAAC